AUACGUAGGGGGCUAGCGUUAUCCGGAAUUACUGGGCGUAAAGGGUGCGUAGGUGGUUUCUUAAGUCAGAAGUGAAAGGCUACGGCUCAACCGUAGUAAGCUUUUGAAACUAAGAGACUUGAGUGCAGGAGAGGAGAGUAGAAUUCCUAGUGUAGCGGUGAAAUGCGUAGAUAUUAGGAGGAAUACCAGUUGCGAAGGCGGCGCUCUGGACUGUAACUGACACGGAGGCCCGAAAGCGUGGGGAGCAAACAGGAUUAGAUACCCUGGUAGUCCACGCCGUAAACGAUGAGUACUAGCUGUCGGGGGUUACCCCCCUCGGUGGCGCAGCUAACGCAUUAAGUACUCCGCCUGGGAAGUACGCUCGCAAGAGUGAAACUCAAAUGAAUUGACGGGG
rnacentral:rRNA from 1 species